GAUGAACGCUGGCGGCGUGCCUAAUACAUGCAAGUCGAGCGAACGGACGAGAAGCUUGCUUCUCUGAUGUUAGCGGCGGACGGGUGAGUAACACGUGGAUAACCUACCUAUAAGACUGGGAUAACUUCGGGAAACCGUAGCUAAUACCGGAUAAUAUUUUGAACCGCAUGGUUCAAAAGUGAAAGACGGUCUUGCUGUCACUUAUAGAUGGAUCCGCGCUGCAUUAGCUAGUUGGUAAGGUAACGGCUUACCAAGGCAACGAUGCAUAGCCGACCUGAGAGGGUGAUCGGCCACACUGGAACUGAGACACGGUCCAGACUCCUACGGGAGGCAGCAGUAGGGAAUCUUCCGCAAUGGGCGAAAGCCUGACGGAGCAACGCCGCGUGAGUGAUGAAGGUCCUCGGAUCGUAAAACUCUGUUAUUAGGGAAGAACAUAUGUGUAAGUAACUGUGCACAUCCUGACGGUACCUAAUCAGAAAGCCACGGCUAACUACGUG
rnacentral:rRNA from 1 species